CCCAGACUCCUACGGGAGGCAGCAGUGAGGAAUAUUGGUCAAUGGGCGCGAGUCUGAACCAGCCAAGUCGCGUGAGGGAGGACGGCCCUACGGGUUGUAAACCUCUUUUGCCGGGGAGCAACGGGCGUCACGUGUGGCGCCACUGAGAGUACCCGGAGAAAAAGCAUCGGCUAACUCCGUGCCAGCAGCCGCGGUAAUACGGAGGAUGCGAGCGUUAUCCGGAUUUAUUGGGUUUAAAGGGUGCGCAGGCGGAUUUUUAAGUCAGCGGUCAAUUCGUGGGGCUAAACCCCAUCCAGCCGUUGAAACUGGGGAUCUAGAGUGUGCGAGAGGUAUGCGGAAUGCGUGGUGUAGCGGCGAAAUGCAUAGAUAUCACGCAGAACUCCGAUUGCGAAGGCAGCGUACCGGCGCCCAACUGACGCUGAAGCACGAAGGCGUGGGUAUCGAACAGGAUUAGAUACCCUAGUA
rnacentral:rRNA from 1 species